CUUGAUCUUCUGAACAGACCUAUGGAGCCGCAAGCAUAAACGGAGUAAAUCAUCAACGUAUCCUAUUUAGAUCACUAUCAGCUCAGAUGAUCCCGGCCCGACCAGUGGACACACACCGAACCGAACUCCAGCGUUACUCUUCUUUAAUUACAAUCCCCCAGCAGAGACCAGACGAUAUGAAGAGAGGAACAGCACAACAGGAACGUAACAAUGUGACACAACAGCAUCGCCGCCACCUCACAACGGGCUGUCGUCCUAUAUGAAAUUCCCAUGACUGCUCCCAGAAACAUCUUUCUACAGACUCGGGUGUAGGACGACUGAGUCUGUGAAUCGCAUUGUUAUGGGACUGUCCCACCUCAUCAUCAGCUGUGGAUGAAAGUUGAAUUAAGAUUUCUUAGAAAUUAUUUAUGUAUCUACUCUCUGUCGGGAUGAAAUUAAACACUGAUGCAUUUCAGACGUGUUUUAAGUUUUUUUUUUUUUUAAUCCUAUUAUGUGACAUAUCCCCAUUAUGUAAAAUAA